rnacentral:lncRNA from 1 species
UCGAAACUUAUUAUUUGAUCAAUCUCUAAAACACCAUGGUUUGAAAGUAGUGUAAACAAAUGUGGGGGCAGGAGAGAGAGUAGGGAAGAGUCGCGCUGGGGAAGGGGAUGAGGACGUCCAGCCCUGAGACCAUGCUCUCGACGUGCUCUAUUUGGGAGGAGGCGGUGGAUCGGGUGGUAGUCAUAUCAAAUGAGGUUAUUUUUGCCUUUUCAAAAAAAAAAAAUCAUUGUAAUCAUGAGAUGGGGAUAAAAUGAUUAAUGGAAAAAGAAAAAAAGCUCCUUGUACGACGACGUAAUCGUAAAACAGGGAUAAAAUGGUUAACAACAAAAACAAUUUAUGACAUAUUACCUUGAAAUUAAAUAUACUUAUUGAGGACAAUAAUUUUUCUCUAAAUGUCCUAUCACAUUUGCAAAUUGGACCUAGCAUCGGCUUGGUUUAGGAGUGCUUGAGGAAAGUCAUCCAAUCAACCCAAAUACAAUACUUCCUAACCUAUAUAUAGGAGUUGUUUGGAGCCAUAUAGUUGAACCUGCACUGCAACUCAAAUCUCAUUGCAUCUUAUAUUGUAGUAAUUGACUUAGAAGGAUGCCCGCUUCUUUUAUUUGGAAAAGAGUUCAAAAAAAUAAAGAUCUCUGACAGAAAUUCCAUUGAAUAUCUUAAG